GCCGUCGUCCCCGCCGCCGCCGCCGCCGCCGCCGCCCGCUGGGCCGGAGGAGGCGGAGCUGGUGCUGUCCCAGCUCUCUUGCAGGGAAGCAACUGAGGGGGCGGCGCGGCGGGCCCCGGCGGCCGAAGAGGCUGGCAGGUGGCGCCGUGGGGUGGGCGCUCCCGGUGAGAGGAGUCCACUCCAUGCGUGCGGGCGGAGGCCGGCCCUCGAGAGCCGCCGACAUGAAGAAAGACGUGCGGAUCCUGCUGGUGGGAGAACCUAGAGUGGGGAAGACAUCACUGAUUAUGUCUCUGGUCAGUGAAGAAUUUCCAGAAGAGGUUCCUCCCAGGGCAGAAGAAAUCACCAUUCCAGCUGAUGUCACCCCAGAGAGAGUUCCAACACACAUUGUAGAUUACUCAGAAGCAGAACAGAGUGAUGAACAACUUCAUCAAGAAAUAUCACAGGCUAAUGUCAUCUGUAUAGUGUAUGCCGUUAACAACAAGCAUUCUAUUGAUAAGGUAACAAGUCGAUGGAUUCCUCUCAUAAACGAAAGAACAGACAAAGACAGCAGGUUGCCUUUAAUAUUGGUUGGGAACAAAUCUGAUCUGGUGGAAUAUAGUAGUAUGGAGACCAUCCUUCCUAUUAUGAACCAGUAUACAGAAAUAGAAACCUGUGUGGAGUGUUCAGCGAAAAACCUGAAGAACAUAUCAGAGCUCUUUUAUUAUGCACAGAAAGCUGUUCUUCAUCCUACAGGGCCCCUGUACUGCCCAGAGGAGAAGGAGAUGAAACCAGCUUGUAUAAAAGCCCUUACUCGUAUAUUUAAAAUAUCUGAUCAAGAUAAUGAUGGUACUCUCAAUGAUGCUGAACUCAAUUUCUUUCAGAGGAUUUGUUUCAACACUCCAUUAGCUCCUCAAGCUCUGGAGGAUGUCAAGAAUGUAGUCAGAAAACAUAUAAGUGAUGGUGUGGCUGACAGUGGGUUGACCCUGAAAGGUUUUCUCUUUUUACACACACUUUUUAUCCAGAGAGGGAGACACGAAACUACUUGGACUGUGCUUCGACGAUUUGGUUAUGAUGAUGAUCUGGAUUUGACACCUGAAUAUUUGUUCCCCCUGCUAAAAAUACCUCCUGAUUGCACUACUGAAUUAAAUCAUCAUGCAUAUUUGUUUCUCCAAAGCACCUUUGACAAGCAUGAUUUGGAUAGAGACUGUGCUUUGUCACCUGAUGAGCUUAAAGAUUUAUUUAAAGUUUUCCCUUACAUACCUUGGGGGCCAGAUGUGAAUAAUACAGUUUGUACCAAUGAGAGAGGCUGGAUAACCUACCAGGGAUUCCUUUCCCAGUGGACGCUCACAACUUAUUUAGAUGUACAGCGGUGCCUGGAGUAUUUGGGCUAUCUUGGCUAUUCAAUAUUGACUGAGCAAGAGUCUCAAGCUUCAGCUAUUACAGUAACAAGAGAUAAAAAGAUAGACCUGCAGAAAAAACAAACUCAAAGAAAUGUGUUCAGAUGUAAUGUAAUUGGAGUGAAAAACUGUGGGAAAAGUGGAGUUCUUCAGGCUCUUCUUGGAAGAAACUUAAUGAGGCAGAAGAAAAUUCGUGAAGAUCAUAAAUCCUACUAUGCGAUUAACACUGUUUAUGUAUAUGGACAAGAGAAAUACUUGUUGUUGCAUGAUAUCUCAGAAUCGGAAUUUCUAACUGAAGCUGAGAUCAUUUGUGAUGUUGUGUGCCUGGUAUAUGAUGUCAGCAAUCCCAAAUCCUUUGAAUACUGUGCCAGGAUUUUUAAGCAACACUUUAUGGACAGCAGAAUACCUUGCUUAAUCGUAGCUGCAAAGUCAGACCUGCAUGAAGUUAAACAAGAAUAUAGUAUUUCACCUACUGAUUUCUGCAGGAAACACAAAAUGCCUCCACCCCAAGCCUUCACUUGCAAUACUGCUGAUGCCCCCAGUAAGGAUAUCUUUGUUAAAUUGACAACAAUGGCCAUGUAUCCCCAUGCCCGGUUACGCUGUAUGUGCACCUGCAACAGGUGUACAUUUUGCAUCUGUCAGAACUUCCUCAACUCAGACUUGCUGCAAUCUGUAAAGAACAAAAUCUUCACUGCAGUUCUUAACAGAAUUGUUUCUGCUUAAGUUUAGAAAUGAGCCAGAAGCAGCUGGGCAUGGUGGCUCACGCCUGUAAUCUCAGCCCUUUGGGAAGCCAAGGUGGGUGGAUCACUUGAGUUCGGGAGAUCGAGACCGUCGUGGCCAACAUGGCACGUGACACAAGCUGACCUCAAGAGCUCCACGUUUUGGCUUCGAGCAAGUUUUGGUGCUACUGUUUUUGCAGUUUUGGGCUUUGCUAUGUACAAAGCAUUACUGAAACAGCGAUGAUAUAAAAAGAAAUACUGGCCCUACCAAAAACAAAUACUUUUAUGUACAUUCUGAAUGCUUUAAGUUCUGCUAGAAAUAUUGAGAUAUUUAUACAUGCAGAGUUACUUUAUUAAUAUUUGUAAUUCAUGCAUAAGAGUAUUUUAAUGAUAGUUAUAACUGCAGUAUUGGCUAGCAUAUGGAAAGAAAACAGCUAACAGCCAAACUAAAAUGGCUAAAUUCCAGAGGCCAAAAGGGAAUAUUUUGUAAAUAUAUGUACAUAUUCAGGUAAGAUAUGGUCUCCCAAGCUGAGUUCUAGAAAUGGUGUUUCUAGACAUUUCUAAAUGGUAUUGUUAGUGCUCACUUGGCUCACUCUCCUAGGUUUAAGUUAGCCCAGAGAUUGUAUUUACUCAUGGAACACUUUAUUUAUUUCACAUUUACUCAGAAUGAUCCUUUGGGUUCUAUAAGGACAUGAGGCACAAUUUGCCAUUCUCUCUCCGUUUUUAAAAACAUAAGCAGUGUCAGCUUACCAACAUGACUUUUUUUCAGUCAGUUGUGGUAGGCCAGCCUUGAAGCCAUCGCACAGUCUAGAAAAUUGUGUAGCUGAGUGUGCAGCUCACCUUUAAGGGUGAAGUAAGGUAAAAGCAAUUAGCAGAGACGUUAUCUAUGUGAUUAUGUUGCUUCUUUUGUCAAUAUGUUGAAUUUUAUAGCCCUUUCAAUGAAAUGAAAAAAAAAAAAAACAAUUUGUAUAUUACCAAUGUUUUUAGUUUAAAUAAAGAGUCACCCUUACUACUGUUGAAUUUCCUCCCAAGAGUAAAUCAUUCUAUAAUGGCUGUGUCUAUUAUAGUCUAUUACAGUAACUGCAUGUGUCACUAAGUGUUCUAUAUCAGGCUAGGAUAACCUAGAGGCAGUAAUUUUUUAAAUGAUAAAUCUAAUGAAUAUAAACUCUCAUGAUAAACCUAUUUUUUCCAUCAUCCGCCUUUUCAAGUAUUUAAAUAAAUAACUGCUGUGUACUGUGA